rnacentral:lncRNA from 1 species
UUCAGACUCAGAGAUUCAGUUAGACAUGAUUUAUGGAAAUUGGAUUCAUUAAUUUUUGGACAUUCAAAAAUAUACCAUACUACUAUAGUACUAUUGUCUGAUUGUGAAGAAGCAGGUAGUCAAUUUUAAUAGUGCAGAUCUUCGAAGACCAGAAUGUGUAGAUGUGAAUUGGAAAGUGGCAACAUAUACCUAGUUCAGACCUUAGAGAUUUAGUUCGACAUUAUUUAUGGAAAUUGGAUUCAUUAAUUUUUGGACAUUCAAAGAUAUACCAUACUAUUGUCCAACUGUGAAGAAGUAGGUAGGUAGCCAAUUUUAAUAGUGCAGAUCUUCGAAGACCAGAAUGUGUAGAUGUGAAUUGGAAAGUGGCAACAUAUACCUAGUUCAGACUUCAGAGAUUUAGUUAGACAUGAUUUAUAGAAAUUGGAUUCAUUAAUUUUUGGACAUUCAAAACUAUACCAUACUACUAUAGUACUAUUGUCUGAUUGUGAAGAAGCAGGUAGCCAAUUUUAAUAGUGCAGAUCUUCGAAGACCAGAAUGUGUAGAUGUGAAUUGGAAAGUGGCAACAUAUACCUAGUUCAGACCUUAGAGAUUUAGUUCGACAUUAUUUAUGGAAAUUGGAUUCAUUAAUUUUUGAUAUACCAUACUAUUGUCCAACUGUGAAGAAGUAGGUAGGUAGCCAAUUUUAAUAGUGCAGAUCUUCGAAGACCAGAAUGUGUAGAUGUGAAUUGGAAAGUGGCAACAUAUACCUAGUUCAGACUUCAGAGAUUUAGUUAGACAUGAUUUAUGGAAAUUGGAUUUAUUAAUUUUUGGACAUUCAAAAAUAUACCAUACUACUAUAGUACUAUUGUCUGAUUGUGAAAAAGUAAGUAGCCAAUUUUAAUAGUGCAGAUCUUCGAAGACCAGAAUGUGUAGAUGUGAAUUGGAAAGUGGCAACAUAUACCUAGUUCAGACCUUAGAGAUUUAGUUCGACAUUAUUUAUGGAAAUUGGAUUCAUUAAUUUUUGGACAUUAAAGAUAUACCAUACUAUUGUCCAACUGUGAAGAAGUAGGUAGGUAGCCAAUUUUAAUAAUGCAGAUCUUCGAAGACCAGAAUGUGUAGAUGUGAAUUGGAAAGUGGCAACAUAUACCUAGUUCAGACUUCAGAGAUUUAGUUAGACAUGAUUUAUGGAAAUUGGAUUCAUUAAUUUUUGGACAUUCUAAACUAUACCAUAC